rnacentral:rRNA from 1 species
UACAGAGGUCUCAAGCGUUGUUCGGAUUCAUUGGGCGUAAAGGGUAGGUAGGUGGUCUCAUUUGUCUGGGGUGAAAGCCUCGAGCUUAACUCGAGAAGUGCCCCAGAAACGGUGAGACUUGAGUCUUGGAGAGGGUUGCGGAAUUCCCGGUGUAGCGGUGAAAUGCGUAGAGAUCGGGAGGAACACCAGAGGCGAAGGCGGCAACCUGGACAAGCACUGACACUCAACUACGAAAGCGUGGGGAGCAAACAGG